UACGGUCGCAAGAUUAAAACUCAAAGGAAUUGACGGGGACCCGCACAAGCGGUGGAUGAUGUGGAUUAAUUCGAUGCAACGCGAAAAACCUUACCUACCCUUGACAUGUCAGGAAUCCCGUAGAGAUAUGGGAGUGCCGCAAGGAACCUGAACACAGGUGCUGCAUGGCUGUCGUCAGCUCGUGUCGUGAGAUGUUGGGUUAAGUCCCGCAACGAGCGCAACCCUUGUCAUUAGUUGCCAUCAUUUAGUUGGGCACUCUAAUGAGACUGCCGGUGACAAACCGGAGGAAGGUGGGGAUGACGUCAAGUCCUCAUGGCCCUUAUGGGUAGGGCUUCACACGUCAUACAAUGGUCGGUACAGAGGGUUGCCAACCCGCGAGGGGGAGCCAAUCCCAGAAAGCCGAUCGUAGUCCGGAUCGUAGUCUGCAACUCGACUACGUGAAGUCGGAAUCGCUAGUAAUCGCGGAUCAGAAUGCCGCGGUGAAUACGUUCCCGGGUCUUGUACACACCGCCCGUCACACCAUGGGAGUGGGUUUCACCAGAAGUAGCUAGCCUAACCGUAAGGAGGGCGGUUACCACGGUGAGAUUCAUGACUGGGGUG
rnacentral:rRNA from 1 species